GCCAAAGCAAUGGUGCAAAACACAAUGAUAAAGAUUUUUAUGUUUUCAUUAAGUUUUGCAUUCCUUUUGUAAAAUGUAAAAGCCUUUUACUUAAUGACAGUGCCCUCUGGGAAAUGACAGUUCACACAUAAGGUUGAGAAUGAGGGGCAGGAUCCUGUAGCGGUAUGGUGAGUAAGCAAUCCCUGUGAAGUGUACAGAUGGGUUAAAAUGUGAGACCACAGCAGCAGCACUCUGCACAUCAAGAAGUUUCUCAGAUGCAGACACUUGUCAUAUGGAAAGAACAAUAUAAAAGAUAAAAAGUUCUCCUUGUGUUUCAUGGACAAAAGAAGGUCAUAAAAGUUCGGAACAACAUGAGGAAUUUGGAUGACAGAUGGCCUGGAAAUGCAGGAACAAAGGUUGAAUUACCAGAAUCCCAUCUUUCCUCAUGUCAGUGGCUCACUUUCAUUAUGCAAAAUCAGAUCCUGCCGUGUGUGUGUGUGUAGUGAAAUUUUAAUUUUUACAGAGGUUAUCUGACACGGAAGACUCUGAUUCUAACCAUACCUGGUUAAACAAAUCAAUUUUCAGCAUAAAAAAAACUGAUUGUCAGAUUGUCUGUUGCAUGACUAUGGGUGAAGUCCAACAUUAAUAUCAACAUUA